AUCGACGUCAAUAAACUUUUUCUGAACAGUAUCUGUUCUUAUCAGCUUAAUAUCUGAUACGGGUCCUAUUUGGACCCAAGAUAUUAAUCUUAUUUUUGGAAUGCGGCGUAGUGCUUGAGGUUUACCUCACCUAUGCCACGGGUUGGCCCGGUAUUGCACUGCCUCCGGGAUCGGCCCACCCCCC
rnacentral:snRNA from 2 species